rnacentral:rRNA from 1 species
UACGUAGGUGGCAAGCGUUGUCCGGAUUUAUUGGGUUUAAAGGGUGCGUAGGCGGCUUUGUAAGUCAGUGGUGAAAUAUGGCAGCUUAACUGUCAAGGUGCCAUUGAUACUGCGGAGCUUGAGUACAGAUGAGGUAGGCGGAAUUGACGGUGUAGCGGUGAAAUGCUUAGAUAUCGUCAAGAACACCUAUAGUGAAGACAGCUUACUAGGCUUAUACUGACGCUGAGGCACGAAAGUGUGGGGAUCAAACAGG